rnacentral:rRNA from 1 species
UACGGGGGGGGCAAGCGUUGUUCGGAAUUACUGGGCGUAAAGGGCUCGUAGGCGGCCAACUAAGUCAUACGUGAAAUCCCUCGGCUUAACCGGGGAACUGCGUCUGAUACUGGAUGGCUUGAGAUUGGGAGAGGGAUGCGGAAUUCCAGGUGUAGCGGUGAAAUGCGUAGAUAUCAGGAGGAACACCGGUGGCGAAGGCGGGUCUCUGGGCCGAUACUGACGCUGAGGAGCGAAAGCGUGGGGAGCGAACAGG